rnacentral:rRNA from 1 species
UACAAAGGGGGCUAGCGUUGCUCGGAAUCACUGGGCGUAAAGCGCACGUAGGCGGCUUUUUAAGUCAGGGGUGAAAUCCUGGAGCUCAACUCCAGAACUGCCUUUGAUACUGAGAGGCUUGAGUCCGGGAGAGGUGAGUGGAACUGCGAGUGUAGAGGUGAAAUUCGUAGAUAUUCGCAAGAACACCAGUGGCGAAGGCGGCUCACUGGCCCGGUACUGACGCUGAGGUGCGAAAGCGUGGGGAGCAAACAGA